rnacentral:rRNA from 1 species
AGCGGCGGAUGGGUGAGUAACACGUGGGGAACCUGCCCCUAAGUCUGGGAUACCAUUUGGAAACAGGUGCUAAUACCGGAUAAUAAAGCAGAUCGCAUGAUCAGCUUUUGAAAGGCGGCGUAAGCUGUCGCUAAGGGAUGGCCCCGCGGUGCAUUAGCUAGUUGGUAAGGUAACGGCUUACCAAGGCGACGAUGCAUAGCCGAGUUGAGAGACUGAUCGGCCACAUUGGGACUGAGACACGGCCCAAACUCCUACGGGAGGCAGCAGUAGGGAAUCUUCCACAAUGGACGCAGGUCUGAUGGAGCAACGCCGCGUGAGUGAAGAAGGUUUUCGGAUCGUAAAGCUCUGUUGUUGGUGAAGAAGGAUAGAGGUAGUAACUGGCCUUUAUUUGACGGUAAUCAACCAGAAAGUCACGGCUAACUACGUGCCAGCAGCCGCGGUAAUACGUAGGUGGCAAGCGUUGUCCGGAUUUAUUGGGCGUAAAGCGAGCGCAGGCGGAAAAAUAAGUCUAAUGUGAAAGCCCUCGGCUUAACCGAGGAACUGCAUCGGAAACUGUUUUUCUUGAGUGCAGAAGAGGAGAGUGGAACUCCAUGUGUAGCGGUGGAAUGCGUAGAUAUAUGGAAGAACACCAGUGGCGAAAGCGGCUCUCUGGUCUGCAACUGACGCUGAGGCUCGAAAGCAUGGGUAGCGAACAGGAUUAGAUACCCUGGUAGUCCAUGCCGUAAACGAUGAGUGCUAAGUGU